CGGGUGAGUAACGCGUGGGUAACCUGCCUCAUACAGGGGGAUAACAGUUAGAAAUGGCUGCUAAUAUCGCAUAAGACCACAGUACUGCAUGGUACAGUGGUAAAAACUCCGGUGGUAUGAGAUGGACCCGCGUCUGAUUAGGUAGUUGGUGAGGUAACGGCCCACCAAGCCGACGAUCAGUAGCCGACCUGAGAGGGUGACCGGCCACAUUGGGACUGAGACACGGCCCAG
rnacentral:rRNA from 1 species